rnacentral:lncRNA from 1 species
GCCCACUCCCCGCCCCAUCCCCCCCGCAUCCCGCCUUAGCCCCGAGCAGGCCCCCCCCCUCCUCCUCGCACCCGGCCCAGCCCCGUCCCUGCGGGGGUCCCUGUACCCACCAUUACACUGCGCCUCACUCGGCCGCGCCCCCCGGCCCUGCGCCCCCUCGGGACGGGCAGUCCGCGGGCGGCGCGGGCCACGUGCUGGGGUCUGUGCCGUCACUCAUUGUGCUGCAGCCAAUGGGCGGCGCCGGCGCCAGGCCGCCGCCCCGAGGUGCGCACCCCCACGCCCAGAGGGGCGCAGCAGCCGGGGGCCCAGGCACCGCCGGGGGAGGGAGCGCUGCGGCUAACGUCGGCUCCAGCGACCGCCAGAGGCCGGCGAGCACAUGGGGUGCGCGCGCAGUCGUCGACGGAGCAGCCCCCCCGCGGGCGCGACAGCCGAGCGGCGCUGCCCCCCCGCACUCCGAGACCGCGGGCCCAGGGGCGCUGGCCGCGAAUUCGGCACCGCGGGGCACACGCCCCAAGGCCUGCCUUACCCGGACGGGAGGACAAGCGGGGACGCCCAGCACUCAAGGCUGACGCUCAGAGGCACUCGGAGCUCCCCGAUCCUCAGCUCCCAGCGAGGCCAACCGUGGGUCCCAAUUCCGGGCUGCAGGGCCGCGCUCCUCCACGCCGGCCUCCCUUGCACGUGGGAAACGCAGAGAGCCUGGGAAUUCCACUGACGCUGGCAUCUGUGAGCCGCACAAUGAAACCCCGUGUCUGAUUUCCUGCCCUGAGCCCUUGAGGGAGAGGGAGUUAGAGGAUUUGGGGGGCUGCGGUGCAGGGGCGCUGCUGGUCCUACUGUGAGCCAAGCGGACAAGGAAGUACCCUGCGCUCGUCCCACCUCGCCCCGCUGUCGGGGCGCCCCGGGCUCCUCGCACACCCCGACCUCGCAGCCGUAGUGAGCACCACGGGCAGGGGAGCACCCGCCCGCCCCCGGCUCCCCGGGCCGGGCCUGGAGCCUGCCGCCUGGGGGUCCCUGCCGCCCGCCCGGGAGUCUCACCCCCCCAAGGGCAAGGGCGGAGCCGCCCCCAGGAUCCAUCCCGGCGGUCCGGCUCGGGGCCCACGCCGGUUCAGUCCCCAAUCAGGCGGCAGGAGUCAGCAUUCUAGAAACAGUCCCUCCGCGGAGGGAACUGCAGGCGAGCAGCAGGGUCCUCGGCCUGACGGCGGGGACUGCGGGGACGGGCGGCCCGGAGCCCCCCGGAGCCCCGGGGCUGUGGGAGGAACCUGAGGCCCAGGGCGAGGGCAGGAGGGGGGGCUGGCCUCCGAAGCGAGGGCCCUGGACUCGUGGGGGGACUGCUGUCGCCCGCGGGGAAGGAGGAAGCCACAUGACCCUCCAAGGGGGGACCCCGCGCAGGAGGGGGCUGCUGAGGCCCCGGCUUCCCGCCGCUGGGCCUGGCCUGGGCGCCCCACCUCUGCUGUACCCCCGCCCCCCGCUGCCAUUCCUGCUGCAAUGACUGUGGUUCUUAGGCCUCGUGUGCUUUCCCACACCUGCCUGGACGCUCCCCUGUGUUUGAAGGAAGCCCCGCACCCAGCCUGGGGCUGGGACGCCCCACCCCGACACCCAGGGGUGCGGCCCUGGCGACCGGCCGCCCAGCUGCGCCUGGCCUGGGCCCCUCGGAUGUCGGCUCUUCCCGUGACGCCUUGCCCUGGGUCCUCGGGUCCGUGUAGCUCAGGGGCUGGUGGCCACGUGCGGAGCGAGUGGCUUUCUACCCCAGUAGUGCAAACCGUGUGUAAAUACCUGUGAGCACCCUCCGUGAGCUCAGCAGGAUUCAAAGGUCAGUCCCUGAGGUGCAGCCCCCUACACACACGCGCAC